rnacentral:lncRNA from 10 species
GUGGCAGUUCCUUGGAGAAACUAGGGGUGAUUCUAUCAUAAAAAGGGGUGGGGGAGAGUAGAUCAGGCAGACACAAUCACUGAAGGAGGAGAGUACAGGAGAUUUAGAGGAAGAAGAUCUGUGAAGAGGUUUGGGAGGAGUUAAGAAGGGAAAGCAAUCAGUCAUUUUUCCAAAGGCCAGUCUGCAGGGCUGGGACUGAGCACAGGCUGAAAUCAAGGUUGGACUACCUCUCAGCCCUUCUCAAGCCCUCCAGGCCUAGCAGUCUCCAUCUGAUCCUGUAUUGGAAAUGGGCAUGGAAGAUGCCACAACUUCUCAAGCUUUCCCUAGGAAAAGGGGUGGGUGAACUUCUGGCCUGAAGAAUCUGAGGAUGGAAGGUCAACUUUGCUCUUCUCCUGGGUUCUGGAACCAGACCUUCCUAACCUGCUCUGCUCACCUGGAGCCCCAGCCCACUGUCACCCAUGCCCUCAUCUCCAGACUCUUCUUCCAGCAAGUAAGAGUCACAGCAGCUAGGCUUGCAAAGCAGGGAUGGUGGCUUGGAGCACCAGCUUCCGUGUCAAGCAGGGCAGGCUGCACUCCCAGCGCCCUGGUGCCUCUGGCUCUCGAGGCUUGUUCCUCAUCUCUAGCUCCCUCACAGAGUUGUCCUGAGGCUCACAAUGGGAACACAUCAAUAAAUUACCUAUUGCAUUAAAAUGAGUUGUUAUUAUUGGCACAAUUGUUAUUGACGCUUAAGCCUGAAGGCAAAUAAAUGAUUUUUAGCUGCA